GACGAACGCUGGCGGCGUGCUUAACACAUGCAAGUCGUACGGUAAGGCCCUUUCGGGGGUCCACGAGUGGCGAACGGGUGAGUAACACGUGAGUAACCUGCCCACAACUUUGGGAUAACGCUAGGAAACUGGUGCUAAUACUGGAUAUGUGCUCCUGCUGCAUGGUGGGGGUUGGAAAGCUCCGGCGGUUGUGGAUGGACUCGCGGCCUAUCAGCUUGUUGGUGGGGUAGUGGCCUACCGAGGCGGCGACGGGUAGCCGGCCUGAGAGGGUGACCGGCCACAUUGGGACUGAGAUACGGCCCAGACUCCUACGGGAGGCAGCAGUGGGGAAUAUUGCACAAUGGGCGCAAGCCGGAUGCAGCAACGCCGCGGGCGGGAGGACGGCCUUCGGGUUGUAAACCGCUUUCAGCAGGGACGAAGCUUUUUGUGACGGUACCUGCAGAAGAAGCACCGGCUAACUACGUG
rnacentral:rRNA from 1 species